CAAUUAAAUUGCACAACUCAAAACAUAAACAACAGCUCGGCAGCAUCGACGAUUUGUUGUCAGUGGGGGAGUUGACUAGACUAUUUUCUGUGGCUAAUCAUACCGGAUUUUAUAUGAAAACUACCUUGUGAAAAUACUACAAUAGGCAGAAAUGGGGUGCGGUGCGUCCAACUCCAUGAGUGUGCCGUCAGGGCCGUCCGAAUACCGAUACGCCGUUCAGCAAACAUGGGAUAAGGUAUCCAAGACCUGUGACCGCAAGAGCAGGCGCAAGAAAUUAGUCAUUAAACGAUCUGGAUGGAAAACUAUACGGGUAUUUGUCUCCUCCACUUUCAAGGACUUCCAUGCGGAAAGAGAAAUACUCGUUAAAGAAGUUUUUCCUGAUUUACGUCAGUGGUGUGAGAAGCGACGUUUACAUUUAGUCGAGUGUGAUCUUCGAUGGGGUGUACCAAAAGAUACAACUUCUGAAGAAACAUUACGAACUUGCCUUGGAGAAAUUGACCGAUGUUACCAAGACAACGUCUAUCCGUACUUCCUCAAUCUUACCAGUGAACGUUGCGGUUGGAUUCCGACACACAAUGACGUGUCAGACUCGCUAGUACGGGAGUACAAGUGGAUCGAAGGCUUGUCUGUUACCGAGAUGGAGAUACUACAUGGGGCCUACAGGAUCGAUAAUCCUAAUUCAUUGUUUAUGGUUCGCAAUUCAACUUUUUUGAAAACAAUACCUGAAGAUCAUGUUGGGGACUUCAAAGAUCCAAACCCAAUAGCUGCACAUAAGCUGGAGGUACUAAAACAGAUGCUAAAGACACGAUUGAAAGAUCGUGUAAAAUGGUACGAUUGUGAAUAUGCUGGCAUUGAUGAAGAUGGCAAAGUUGAACUUAAUGGACUGCAAGAAAGCUUUUGUAAAAGUGUAUUUGAAUUCUUCAAGAACCGCAUAGAAGAUCAGUAUCCGCUGUCAGACGGGACUCUUGAUCCGUACCAGCAAGCAAAAGAAGCCCAUGAGUCUUUCCUAAAGAAUCGAGGAGCUCUAGUGCUUGGUAGAAAGGCAAUCCUUGAAAGAGUUGAGAAAUAUGUCACAGAUAUCGGCGUCAACAAUUCACUGGUUAUACUGGGAGGGGCUGGGACUGGCAAAUCAUCCCUAAUGGCCAAGACGGCAGACGUUAGCCAGCAAAUGGCCAUGGCAAAGCAAAUCCCAGGAGGAGGUGACAGUGGUUGGCAUAUAUUUUAUCAUUUUGUUGGUGCAGUACCUGGCUCGACAGAUCUUGAGAAAGCUUUGAAACGACUGUUAAAAGAGUUGGGUGCAGUCAAUGAAGCUACGAUGCCUAAGAAUCUAGAGACAACUUGUCAGAUGACGUGCAGUGUUCUGUCCAACACCAAAACACCUCCAGUGCUGGUCAUCAUUGAUGCUCUCAAUCAGUUUGAUGACGACAAGUCAGGAACCGUCCUACGUUGGCUGCCGAGAUGCCUGGCGCCUCAAGUACGUGUUAUCAUCUCAAUGAUAAAUGACACCCCACCACACAAAAUGCUGCUAGAGAGAUCAAUUAAACCUGAAGAAAUAUUAGUCACACCACUUGAUAUGGAAGCAAGAAAAGAGAUUGUUACUGAGAUGCUUGGCAAAUACAACAAACGUCUUGAUGAAAACCAGAUCAGCAGUUUGUUAUCCAAAGAGUCUUCCCAGAAUCCUCUCUGGCUUGCUGUGGCAUGCGAGGAACUGAGGGUAUUUGGCUUUUUUGAGAGGGUUACAGACAAGAUAAACAGCAUGAAAGAUGGUCUAUUAGAGUUAUUGGAGCAAGUGUUUGAACGUUUUGAAGAAGAAAAUGGUGGGCAGCUUUUGGUAGCAACUUUAUGUUUAUUGGAGACGUCAGCCACAGGUCUGUUGGAAACAGAAUUAUUGCAAAUUCUUGGAGACGAAGAUAACUUGAAACCACAGGAAAAAGAAGGCAAAGACAAAGAUGGUGGAAGGGAGAAGAAGAGUAAGGAUAUAGGUCCGCUACCUGCUGCUAAAUGGGCUGUGGUGUUCCGAGCAUUAAAACCAUUCCUGCGUCCUUUUGGCGAUAGUGGAGAAGGUCGUUUGGAUUUCUACCACAGGGCACUCAGUAAAGCUGUCAGGAAGAAGUACUUUGAUGUUAACACAACUGGGGUAGUGGACCAGCUAUGGUGGCACACCAAACUAGCAGACUUCUUUGAGCAAACAGACAACAUUGAUCGCAAAGUUGAAGAAUUGCCAAUACAUUUGCUGAAAAUUAACAACCCUGAUAAACUGAAGGAUUUCUUGAUGGACUGGAAAAUAUUCGACAAGUUGUACAAUGAAGAAUAUAGUACUUUGCUUUUACGAUAUUGGAGAGAGGGUUGUGGUAAAACAUGGCAAACACAGAUGGAGAAUCGCUACCAAAGCCAGCUUGACCAGAUAGAUAAGAGUGAUGACCCAGAUUUACAACUAUUGGCCAGGAGAUACGAACAGGUUGCCAGGGUUGUUAAUCAAUCUGGUGAAAAUAUGAAAUCGUUAGCAUUGCUGGAAAAAGCCAUGAAGAUCGAGCAGGAUCAUCUGAACAGUAGGCCAGAACGUAUGGUGGAGCUAUACCACCUUGCAGCUACUAUCUACGAUGAUAAACUUAAGCUUUAUGAGUACAUUGACCCCAGUCAACUGAGGGAAUUAAGACCUCUCAUAGACUUUGCUAGAAAGUCUAUAGCUAUAAGAGAGACUCUGGAAGGUGAAAUUCAUAAGUAUAAACUUGGCAAGACUCUGGUGCAGAUGGCAUUUAACCUGGAGAGUUGGCUAGAGUGUGGAGGGGACAACAGCAUGUCUGGGGAGGAAGCAAUUGAAGAGGGGCAGGCCUGCAUUGACAAAGCCAUACAAAUAUUCAAAGAUCUUUGUGAUGAUGGGCAUCUUGCAGAUGCUAUUAUGACAGCAGGAAUUCUACUAGAAAGGGCAAGUGACGAACAACUGGAGAAAUACAUGGAAGCCUUGGAACUCUGCCUUCAAGCAUAUGGUGAGAAUAGCGUACUCACAUCCAGACUCUACCUCAACAUUGGCAUCCUACACGAGGACAAUCGACGCUACUUUGAGGCAUAUGAUUGGUUCAUCAAGUGGCAGAAAGUUAGCGAAGAAGUGUUUGGUUACCAUCAUCCACGUACUCAACGUUGCCGUAAUUGCUUAGCCGAGUCUCGUUACGUGUAUGUCAAGAGAGAACUUGAACGUCGUAGUAAGAUCGGCGAUUCAAACAACCCACCACCUGACAAUAACAUUGAGAGUGGGGACGAGAGUGAAGAAGAGGGUGAUGAGUGAUCAGUUUACAAGGGAUUCAGUUACAGGUAGUUUAUCCAAAUUAAAAUAUUUCAGGUCUCCUUCUUGGAUAAGCUAAAUGCUGGAUAAAACAAUAGCUGCAGAUGUUUCUGGACUUGGGUAUUUUAAUAGGUCCGCCCAAAGAGUAUAUAGAACAAGAGAGUGUAUUCCUCUUCGUUAAAACGUCACUCCCCUUGUUACGAUAGAAGUCGCCAUCGUCGUUAUGUAGUGCGCCUACUAUGAUCACAUAAAGUGCGGCCACUUCCAUGGUAUGAUGAUAAAGAAAAAUAAGGAAAUUUAACCGCCCUCUACGAAUGUAUUUUAUCAUGUGGAAAACAGCAAUACAAAUAAACAAACUAUGCGCGGUACAUUACUAGGUAAUCCAUCGGUAGCGGGCGUCCUACUCUGGCUGCGUAUGACAUAUCGUUUUCUACGUUCUCAAUGAGCAUAGUUUGCUCUUUUGUUCUAUUUAUACUCUUUGGUCCAACUUAAGUUAAUUAAUCAUUGAUUGAUAAAGAAAGUGCCAUUAACACUCUGACUGCCAGGGAUUUGAAAAAAUAGUGUCAGCUUUAACACUUUUCCGAAGCUCAUUGAGAGUGCGUAUGUGAUCAGAUUGACAGCAAAUUGAAAAUGACUCACUUUUGGAGAUUUACGCAAUUUGGCACAACGGAGCUCAGAUAAUCAUGAUUUCGUGAAAGUAAAUCAAUACCUCUCUGUGCUAAUGUAAACAAACAAAUAGUGAAAUACUUACAGUCCAGACUGAAUAUAGUGUUCAAAUUGUUAGUACAUGUACAUCUGCAUAACAACCUGAAAAACGGAGAUCUCUGUGUUUGGUGGGCAGAGUGUUAAUCAUUGAUUGAUAAAGAAAAUGCCAAACUCCAAUUUUAUUAGUAACAAAUUUAGAUUGCUAUAAUACUACUGGUAACGAUAAUACAAAAUAAUUAUCUCUAUGAAUAUGAAUAUGUUUGUUGAUACACUUACUAUUGCAAGUAAAAAGAACCAUCCAUCCAGAGGGCAGCAGACUUGCAUGUCAACGCCCACAUAUGUACCUCUUAAUUAUUUUUAACCUUUGUAAACACAAUCAUAUAAUGUGCUAUUAUAUAAUAUUUUUAUAUUGUACUUACAGAUACUGCAAUUACAGUUAAUAAUAACAUAGUAGAACAAAAAAUUACUUAAUUAUUAUCUAACCUGUUGUUAUAAUAAUAACAUUUUUUUUUUUUUUUAAACAGAUUUUUAAAAAUCAUGAUUUAUAAGUUUGAGCCUGGUUUGCUUGCGCCUGCAUCCACUAGAAAUUUUUUAAGCACAAAAUAUGCUAAAGUAGUUAAAAAUCACCUAAUACCCACUUUAUUUUGCCAAUUAGUUCCUCCUCACUUUAUUAUCAAGACCUUCAACUUCACUAUCCCCAUCAGCACCACCACCCCCCCCCCCCCCCCCCCCCCUCCACCCUUCAAUACCUCUAGAUACAUCACUAAUCACCAUAGCUAGUCUUUAUUUUGUAAAUAAUACAGGAAUUUGUAUUUGUAAAUAUUUUAAGUAAUUCUUUUUAAAGUUGUUGUGUAGAAUGUGUGUAUAUCACACAAAAUAGUUGUUUUAUAAUAAUAUACAAUUAUGUUAUAAUGCUGUUAAUAUUUUUUAGUAAAAGACUUUGGAUGUUUGGUUAAUGUUUAUGCAAAUUAUGCUGUGCAAUGUGGCUUAUUAAAAUGUUGGGUGUAUUCAUGCAGAACCAUAGCAACUUUAUAUUUGUUGGAUUAACAGUGUGUAUGUUUUCAGCAUUAUCAGCAACAGUUCCUAUUGAUUAUGCAUAGCUAGCAUUUGGACAAGUGUCUGUCCUCUCAUUCUGCAGGCGCGCAUCGUAGUGCUAAAUGUAAACUCACUAGCCUAGAAUUUUCUUCAUGCUGGGAAUUACAAGUACUUUGUACAAGUUGUUUUGACCUUUUGUACAUGAACCGAACAAAGGUUAAGAAAACCAUGCACUAAUGUAAAAUUAAUGCAUGGUUUGGGUUAGGAAUAUAACAUCAUUCAUUCAUUCAUUCUUUAUUCAGCCAAACAUAUACAUUUACAUCGGGAGUUACUGUACAGUGAUGAUGUCACGAAUGACUUGAAACUGUUAAUAUUAUACAGGGAUCUUAAUCAGGUAUAUACGUGUGCUUAACUUUAUAGAUCAGCUACAAUACAAUCCAGUAUCAUAUGUUAUGGCAUACUUUACAAUUUUAAUAUGCUUAUUACCAUAUUAUGUAAAGUCUUGUCAGUAGUGGCAAGAUCAGGGAGAUGCAUCUCCCUAGUAAGAUGUGGAAUUAAUAAUCCUUAUAGUGGCAUUGUUUAUAAAUUGCUGCAUACGUUUACAAAAUAAUAAUCUAUUUACCUCGGUGUGGAUUUUGAAAUAGGUUUGUGAUUCUUUAGCCAUAUAUCAAGAGUGCAAAUUUAUAUAUUAUUUAAUAUUAUUAGAAAGGAAUUAAGAGUGUUGUCAUCGUUUAUAUGGACUAAACAAGUACAUGCUAUUAACAUUGCAAGUAGAGUAUAUUAUUUUGAGGAGUUUAAAGUUUGAAGCCUGUUAAUGUAAAUUUAGUUUUCUUCAGUAAAAAGUCUAUUUUAUAAUUAUUUCUUGUAAAAAUGUUAAUUCCAAGAUUCUCUGUAAAAUAUUCGUUUUCUAAAUUUGAUGUAGAUUAGCAGAUUUCAAUUCCUGAAAAAAAAUGUAAUUAUUUAUGAUUAUAAAGGUUGUCUUUAUCUAUAAUUGUAUUACCGCAUUUAUUAGGUCUGGGUCUGGUGACAGGGGCUCUGCAAAUUACAGAUUUCCCAGUAGUUAACAGUGUUAAAAACUGAACAAGAAGUUUGUACAACACAUAAUUACUGUAUCAUCGUCUAGGCCUAACUUCAAUGUUGUUUAAUCUUUGCCACAUUAUCUAUGAUUAAUAAAAUGGUCAUACUGUAUAAUCAUGGAGUUACUUGUGCUCCCUGGGAUGAUGAAAUGUGAAUGACCUCUUACCAGUCACCAUCCUUACUUCCAUGCAGAGCUGUCUCAUAAGGCCAAGUAAACCUACCUUUUGGAUUGUCUCCUAAAUUUGAAUAAAUAUUUGUCAACAAAA
rnacentral:misc_RNA from 1 species